UUUCUGCACCUGAACAGCAGCCUGCAGUACAGCCAUCGUUCCACUGGGUGGAGUUGUGGUGAGCUUCAUCAGCUCGUCUGCUGCAGGACACAAAGCAUCCAGCUACAGAGGCAGGGGGAAACUCAAGCAGCAGCAGCCCAUCGUACUACAGACUGAAUAAAUUUAAUUGUACAACACGAGGAGUAGCUACAACCCAAUGUUCUACCUUUGACUGAAUAAUGUCUGAAUACAGAGGAAGAACCAAAGCUCACAGGUGAAAAUCAUUCUAAAUAUUGCCGUUUAUUCUGUAGUUACAAACAGGCCCUUAUUUAAAGCACCUAAAGAUGUCAAACACAUUUAGAACAUGAAUAUUCUUAUAGCUAGCUUCUGAUAUGUGCACCUUCUCAUGGCUUGUGUCCCAGCAUGCAGCGCUCUAGCCCAGGAAGCAGCAUCGCUCCGCCCCUCGGUCACAUGACCAGCUGCUGCCGUGAGGAACAAACUGUACAACUUAAGAGACAGCAGAGAGGAGUGUCAGCGUGCAACUUCAGCUGUCAAACACCGUCUGAUUGGUCUCACCGCUCCAGAAGACCCGCCCAUCUUCUCCUGCACCAACCCAGCAAGGACAGACAGGAGUUGCCCCGGGCAACCAGGGACCACAUGAUCCUGGAGCCAGUUCUGAAUGGCUUCAAUAAAAUGUUACACAAGUCUGUUUAGGGGCAUCUUUAAUCCUGCCUUUAAGCCCCGCCCACUACUGACGGCGUUUCCUACCUCUGGCAGCUUGAGCGUGAGUGUUCCCACAGUCUCCGUCCCCGGCGGCUCGAUCCAGGGAGUUUAGUUCCUCCUGCUUGUCCAGCAAAGUGGAACAGAUCUUUUCCAAAGCGUUACGCAUCAUAGGACUCCAAGGUCCUGACGGAAACAAAAACUAGCGUUUAUGAUUUUGACUGAUGCAGCCGGGUGCUCGUUUGUAAAAACAUCCUAACAGAAAAAGCUUAAUUAGACGAGCUUCUGGAAAUACUUUACUGCAUAAAAGCAACACAUCGCUCUGUUCUUGUGCUGUUUGUUACCCAGGUGGCAUCUAACUGUGAGGUUCCAUCUUUACGAGACUAAAGAAACUGACCUUCGGCGUGUGUGUCGUCCUGCGGCCGCGUGGUGAGAAAAGGACAGUCUAUGAUGUAGCUGCGGCCGCUCACACACACACUGCUGAGACUGGGCCAGGCGGGGGCGCUAGUUGUAGCAUC